rnacentral:rRNA from 1 species
GUGAGGAAUAUUGGGCAAUGCCCGCAAGGGUGACCCAGCAACGCCGCGUGAAGGAUGAAUGCCGUAAGGUUGUAAACUUCUGUUAGAGGGGACGAACAGCUCCGAUCGCAUCGGAGUUUGACGGUACCCUCAGAGAAAGCCCCGGCUAACUACGUGCCAGCAGCCGCGGUAAUACGGAGGGUGCAAGCGUUGUUCGGAUUUAUUGGGCGUAAAGGGCGUGUAGGCGGUUUCAUAAGUCUGAUGUGAAAGCCCCGGGCUCAACCUGGGAAGUGCAUUGGAAACUGUGAGACUUGAGUACGGGAGAGGGCAGUGGAAUUCCCAGUGUAGGAGUGAAAUCCGUAGAUAUUGGGAGGAACACCGGUGGCGAAGGCGGCUGCCUGGACCGAUACUGACGCUGAGACGCGAAAGCGUGGGGAGCAAACAGGAUUAGAAACCCUAGUAGUCC